rnacentral:rRNA from 1 species
ACAACAGGGAUUGCCUCAGUAACGGCGAGUGAAGCGGCAAUAGCUCAAAUUUGAAAGCUGGCUUACGCCCGCGUUGUAAUUUGUAGAGGAUGCUUCGGAUGCGGUGCCGGUCUAAGUUCUUUGGAACAGGACGUCAUAGAGGGUGAGAAUCCCGUAUGUGACUGGUGGCCUGCGUCUAUGUGAAGCUCCUUCGACGAGUCGAGUUGUUUGGGAAUGCAGCUCUAAAUGGGUGGUGUACUUCAUCUAAAGCUAAAUAUUGGCUGGAGACCGAUAGCGCACAAGUAGAGUGAUCGAAAGAUGAAAAGCACUUUGGAAAGAGAGUUAAAUAGUACGUGAAAUUGUUGAAAGGGAAGCGCUUGCAAUCAGACUUGCGCUGCGUCGAUCAACUUGGGUUCUCCCUGGUGCACUCGGCGCAGCUCAGGCCAGCAUCAGUUUCGGCGGUUGGAUAAAGGCUUGGAGAACGUGAGUUGCUUCGGCGACUGUUAUAGCUCCAGGUGCAAUGCAGCCCGCCUGGACCGAGGACCGCGCUUUUCGCGAAGCUAGGAUGCUGGCGUAAUGGUUGUAAGCGACCC